rnacentral:rRNA from 1 species
CCCUGGCUCAGGACGAACGCUGGCGGCGUGCCUAAUACAUGCAAGUCGAACGCACGAAGUUGAAGAGCUUGCUCUUUAACCCAACUGAGUGGCGGACGGGUGAGUAACACGUGGGUAACCUGCCCAUUAGAGGGGGAUAACAUUCGGAAACGGAUGCUAAUACCGCAUAGUUUCAGGAAUCGCAUGAUUCUUGAAGGAAAGGUGGCUUCGGCUACCACUAAUGGAUGGACCCGCGGCGUAUUAGCUAGUUGGUGAGGUAAUGGCUCACCAAGGCAAUGAUACGUAGCCGACCUGAGAGGGUGAUCGGCCACACUGGGACUGAGACACGGCCCAGACUCCUACGGGAGGCAGCAGUAGGGAAUCUUCCGCAAUGGACGAAAGUCUGACGGAGCAACGCCGCGUGAGUGAAGAAGGUUUUCGGAUCGUAAAACUCUGUUGUUAAAGAAGAACAAGGAUGAGAGUAACUGCUCAUCCCCUGACGGUAUUAACCAGAAAGCCACG